AACUCAAAGGAAUUGACGGGGGCCCGCACAAGCGGUGGAGCAUGUGGUUUAAUUCGAUGAUACGCGAGGAACCUUACCUGGGCUCAAAUGUAUGUUGACGUAUUCUGAAAGGGAUACUUCUUCGGACAAUAUACAAGGUGCUGCAUGGUUGUCGUCAGCUCGUGCCGUGAGGUGUCGGGUUAAGUCCCAUAACGAGCGCAACCCCUACCUUUAGUUGCCAUCAGGUAAUGCUGGGGACUCUAAAGGAACUGCCUACGCAAGUAGUGAGGAAGGCGGGGAUGACGUCAAAUCAGCACGGCCCUUACGUCCAGGGCUACACACGUGUUACAAUGGCCAGUACAGAGGGCAGCCACCCCGCGAGGGGGCGCUAAUCCUAAAAGCUGGUCCCAGUUCGGAUCGGAGUCUGCAACCCGACUCCGUGAAGCUGGAUUCGCUAGUAAUCGCGCAUCAGCCACGGCGCGGUGAAUACGUUCCCGGGCCUU
rnacentral:rRNA from 1 species